CUGUGCUGCAGGGUUCAAGAGAGAAUCAGAGGGAUCCCGCCACAGACCUGUUUGCUUGAGGAAGCCGACCUUGUCUGGAUCCACCAUGGCCUGGGCCCCUCUGCUCCUCACCCUGCUCACUUACUGCAUUGGUUUCAGUUCCCAGCAGAUCCAGUCCUUGAAGCCAACCGAGUUAGUGUCUCUUGGAGGGACCGUGACCCUCUCCUGCAGCCUGAGCAGUGGGGCCAUCACNGACAGCAACUACCCGCUCUGGGUUCAACAGAGACAGGGGAAUGUUCCCCGGACGAUCAUGCACAGCACGAGCACCAGGCCCUCGGGCAUCCCGGCCCGUUUCACUGGCUCCAGAGCAGGAAACACUAUGUCCCUGACCAUCACGGGGGCCUUGGCAGAAGAUGACGCUGAUUAUUACUGUGUUGUGUGGACUGGGAGUGCUCAUCACAGCGAUACAUUCAGAUGGGGAAGUGACACAAAAAUCUCCCUCCCCAGUCUGUGUACAGCACGAGCACCAGGCCCUCGGGCAUCCCGGCCCGUUUCACUGGCUCCAGAGCAGGAAACACUAUGUCCCUGA